UUAUGGCCACAUCAUCGUGAAACACUGGUUCCCAUGAGAUCAACAAAGUUAAGAAAUGUUGAGUCUGGUCAGUACCUAGAUGAGUGACUGUUUAGGAAUACCAGGUAAUGUAA